rnacentral:rRNA from 1 species
CAGUAGCCGCGGUAAUACGUAGGUGGCAAGCGUUGUCCGGAAUUAUUGGGCGUAAAGGGCUCGCAGGCGGUUUCUUAAGUCUGAUGUGAAAGCCCCCGGCUCAACCGGGGAGGGUCAUUGGAAACUGGGAAACUUGAGUGCAGAAGAGGAGAGCGGAAUUCCACGUGUAGCGGUGAAAUGCGUAGGGAUGUGGAGGAACACCAGUGGCGAAGGCGACUCUCUGGUCUGUAACUGACGCUGAGGAGCGAAAGCGUGGGGAGCGAACAGGAUUAGAUACCCCAGUAGUCCCUGUCUCUUAUAC